AGGGGAAGACUCACAUAGAGGCAGCAGUAGAGAAUCUUGUGCAAUAAACGAAAGUAUGACACAGAGAGGACACUUUUAAUUGAGCCCGUCAAAUUAAGUGCCAGCCGACGCGGUUAAACUUAAGGGCUGGUCUUUAUAAGUAAAAAGGCGUAAAAGGAUGUGUAGGCCAAAAAAUGACCCAAGUAGGUAAAUGGAAUUUUUCUGGAGCGGUAGAAUGUGAGGAUAGAAAAUAGAACCCCUAAGGUAAAAACUAUUUACCACAAGGAGGGGCUGAAACAUGAGAGUGUGGGGAGCAAACAGGAUUAGAGACCCUGGUAGUCCUACACUGUAAACUUUGAAGAUGAUGCUUAGCAGACCCGAAAGGUUAAAUCWUCCGCCUGASUAGUACGAUCGCAAGAUUAAAAUUCAAAAACUUUGGCUGUUCACUAUUUCGAUUAGAGGAGCGUGUAGUUUAAUUCGAUGGUCCGCGUUANGUUACCUUACCCCAACUUGAAUCUGUGACCGGUAUGGCCAUGGGCCAUCGUAAGUUCGUGUAUUAAGCUAGAAGGGACCCAACCCGGGCAUUUGCCCGGAGGAAGUCAGGUCUUAUGAUCCGAAUGUUGGGGGAUUUUAUGCGCUACAUUUUCUUAUAUAAUGGGAGACCUGAAAGGUGAGCCUCUAAAGUAAGAGUUCGGAAGGUCGCUGUAAGACGACUGGAAGUUGGAUUUAAUAGUAAUCGGAAAGUAGGGCGUUCCGGUGAAUUGGUACAAGUGUUAGCACAAAUUGCCCGUCACCUUUACCUAGAAUGGUUAUUCGGACGCCUUCGGUGGUUACGAAUGCCUACAGGGUA
rnacentral:rRNA from 1 species